UACGUAGGGUGCAAGCGUUGUCCGGAAUUAUUGGGCGUAAAGAGCUCGUAGGCGGUCUGUUGCGUCGGCUGUGAAAACCCGGGGCUCAACCCCGGGCCUGCAGCCGAUACGGGCAGACUAGAGUUCGGCAGGGGAGACUGGAAUUCCUGGUGUAGCGGUGAAAUGCGCAGAUAUCAGGAGGAACACCGGUGGCGAAGGCGGCGUUCUGGACCAUUACUGACACUGAAUCGCGAAAGCUAGGGGAGCAAACGGG
rnacentral:rRNA from 1 species